rnacentral:rRNA from 1 species
UACGUAGGUGGCGAGCGUUGUCCGGAUUUACUGGGCGUAAAGGGAGCGUAGGCGGACUUUUAAGUGAGAUGUGAAAUACUCGGGCUCAACUUGAGCGCUGCAUUUCAAGCUGGAAGUCUAGAGUGCAGGAGAGGAGAAUGGAAUUCCUAGUGUAGCGGUGAAAUGCGUAGAGAUUAGGAAGAACACCAGUGGCGAAGGCGAUUCUCUGGACUGUGACUGACGCUGAGGCUCGAAAGCGUGGGGAGCAAACAGG